UUGUACAAAUUUAUUACAUGUAUAUUUAUUACAUGUACAACUUUGUUACAUGUAUAUAAUAUGUAGUGGUCAAGUCAGGGUAUUUGGGGUGUCUGUCACCCGAGUAAAAAACAGUUUUGGGGUUUUCUGUUUCUUUGUUUUUUUAUAGAGUCAAGAUUUCAGUAUGUUGCCCAGGCUGGUCUCAAACUCCUGGGCUCAAGCAGUCCUCCAGACUUAGUCUCCCAAAGUGCUGUGAUUACAGGCAUAAACCACCAUGCCCAGCCCAAGUACAAAACAUUUUUGUUAAGUAUAGUCACCCUACUGUGCUGUCAAACAUUUUAUGUAUUCCUUCUUACUGUGUGUUUUUACCCUUUAACCCGCUUCUCUUCAUCCUCCCUUUACCCCUGCCCCACCCCUCCCAGUCUCUGUUCUCUAUUUUCCACUCUUUACCUCCAUGUGAUCCCAUUUUUUAGCUCCCACAUAUAAGUGAGGACAUGCGAUAUUUGUCUUUUUGUGCCUGGCUUAUUUCAUUUCAGAUAAUAACCAGUUCCUGGAUGUGAUACAUUUUUACUUCAGUUCUUCAUUUCACUUGGCAAACUAUACUUGGCCCUUUCUUAAUGGAUUUAUCUUUGCUAAACAGCAGUUGCUUUAAACAGCAAUUUUUUAAAAUUGUUAUUAGAAAAGCAGUUCAUGCCUACUGUAAAAACAUUUCUAAAAUAGGAAAGUAUGGUGUUCAAAGUGAAAGUCUCCUCCUCCUCAAUUUCACUCUGCAGAAAUCAACCAUAUUCAUAGCUUGGUAUGUAUCUCUGUAGGAUCAAAGAUUCCAAACUGAGAUAAUAUAAGAGUGAGUCUACCAAGUAGGAACGGCAGUGAACUGGAAGUGUCCCACCUGAGGGGGACAGCCUCUACUCAGGGCCAGAAGGAUUAAUUCAAACACUUCUGAGCUGCCAGUCUGAAACUGUGUCCGGAAUUGGUGGAUUCUUGGUCUCACUGACUUCAAGAAUGAAGCCGCGGACCCUCGCAGUGAGUGUUACAGCUCUUAAGGUGGUGCGUCUGGAGUCUGUCCCUUCUGAUGUUCAGAUGUGUUCGGAGUUUUUUCCUUCUGGUGGGUUCGUGGUCUCGCUGGCUCAGGAGUGAAGCUGUAGACCUUCGCGGUGAGUGUUACAGCUCUUAAGGCAGCGCGUCUGGAUUUGUUUGUUCCUCCGGGUGGGCUCGUGGUCUCGCUGGGCUCAAGAGUGAAGCUGCAGAUCUUCGCGGUAAAUAGGUUCAUCACUGUGAAGAUUUCUGGACAUUCUGCCACCACCUUGGUCUACAAGUGGCAUUCCCAAAGCCUGAAGCUAUCUUUGGCACCUGUAAAACGCCAGCCUUUCCCUCCAUGCCUACCCAAAGUGGUAGGUCCAGAGAUGUCUUGAUCAUCUUCAUGCCACCACUUUGGCCGGACAGAGCGGGAGCAAUGUUGACUGAUGUCAUAUUCUUAACUUUUAGUAUCACCUGGUAAUUUCUACAAUAAGGAUGCUGGAGUCUUGCCUAGUUAGAAAUCCUACCAGGGCUGUUUAUGAACCUUACUCGUGAAACAACUAAAAGUUUAGAAAGAGGAGAGGUUAGAAGGUAAAGGUAGAAUUGGGAAAAAAAAUGAAUACCUAGUUUAUUCUAAGGCUGUGAUUCCUAAGCUUUUAGAGAAAGGUUAGGAAUCUUCUGGCCGGGCUUGGUGGCUCAUGCCUGUAAUCCCAGCACUUUCAAAGGCUGAGGCGGGUGGAUUGCUUGAGUUCAGGAGUUUUGGAUCCGACUGGGCAACAUGGCGAAAUCCCAUCGCUACAAAAAAUACAAAAAUUGGCCGGGUGCGGUGGCUCACGCCUGUAAUCCCAGAAUUUUGGGAGGCCGAGGCGGGUGGAUCACCUGCAGUCAGGAGUUGGAGACCAGCCUAGCCAACAUGGUGAAACCCUGUCUCUACUAAAAAUACAAAAAAAAAAAAAAAAAAAAUGAGCCGGGCGUGGUGGUGCAUGCCUGUAGUCCCAGCUACUCAGGAGUCUGAGACAGGAGAAUCUCUUGAAUCUAGGAGGUGGAGGUUGCAGUGAGCUGAGAUCGCGCCACUGCACUCUAGCCUGGGCAACAGAGCAAUACUCUGUCUCAAAAAAAAAAAAAUUACAAAAAUACAAAAAUUAGCCAGGCAUGGUGGUGCGCCUAUAGUCCCAGCUAUUCGGGAGGCUGAGGUGGGAGGAUCACCUGAGCCUGGGGAGGUCAAGGCUGCAGUGAGUUGUGAUAGGACCACUGCAUUCCAGCCUGGGUGACAGAGUGAGGCCUUGUCUCAAAAACAAAACAAAAUAAAAAAACCCAAGAACUUAGUAAACAUUAGCUAGUAAUAAUUUUUUAAAAGAGAGAAUUAAUUUCUUCUGUGCUACUUGGUUGAAUUGUUUGCAUUAUAUAAUCUAUUAUCUCUUAAAAAUAGAAACAGCAUAGGGCUUACAUAUUGUUUUAUAAGUCAGAUGAAAUUAAAUCAAUUUAAAGUUACUCUUUUAAGACAUUAGUAACAUUCCAAAAAACAUGGAGAUGUUAGAGCAUUGUUAAAAUUGUGGCCCAGAAUAACUUCUCUAAAUAAUCAUUUCACACUCACUAAACCUCUGUUGAGGAAGUCUAGGCUAAAACCUUUGUUUGUCAAGAGGUGAAACACUUAACAUGAAUAUCUCUACUUUCAUGUAGAUAAGUAGUGAGCUAGCUUGAUUGAUUUUGAUCAAACUUUUGAAACUUUUUUUUGUUUUGAGACAGAGUCUCGGUCUGUCACCCAGGCUGGAGUGCACUGGAGUGAUCUUGCCUCACUGCAACCUUCGCCUCCUGGGUUCAGGUGAUUCUCCUGUCUCAGCCUUCUGAGUAGCUGGGAUUAGAAGAGUGAGCCACCAUGCCCAGCUAAUUUCUUUUUUUUUGUAUUUUUAGUAGAGACGGAGUGUCACCCUGUUAGCCAGGCUGGUCUUGAACUCCUGACCUUGGGUGAUCCGCUGGCCUCGGCCUCCUGAAGUCCUGGGAUUACAGGCAUGAGCGACCACACCUGGCCAAACUUUUGAAACUUUUACAAAUGUUGAGUGCAUUUAUGUGAAUGUGACACAAAAUACAGAAAGAAUAUGAGCACAUAUGAGAUUUGUAUUUUUAGGGACUGACAUCAAAACUGUGUUACUCUUUAGAAUUACUAUGGUGAUUUUGAAUAUGCUGAAGUUAUAUACUUUUUGCCGUGAUUAGCGUCUUUAUGUCAAGCUGUCUUGCCUCUGGGUUUUUAUGAACGAUGUCAUCUGAAAAGACCUUAUACUCUCUCUCAUUCAUUCCCUGAUAUCAAUUCCAUCUCCGGAGAAGCCAGGGAGUUGUUCAAGGCCUAUAAAAUGAAGUACAAGUGACUGAGAUUCACAACACAGAACUAAAACAUGUGAAAUAUUUUGAUACUGUAGGCAAAGGAGGGUUGUAGUUUUCAUGUUACUCUAGAAAUGGUUUUCUCUUCCAAUGUAAGCUGGAUUUGUUUUCGAGAGCCAAAGAGCCAAGCUAUUGAACACAGGUAGGCCCAUGUAUAUACUCACAGAAAGGAGCAUUGGCUGACUUCUGUUUGUUUGGUUUUUGUUUGUUUGUUUGUUUGUUUUUGAUAUUUCACUUUUCCCCACUAACCAUUGUAACAAUUUUUAAGUGUAUAAUUCAAUAGUAUUACAUACAUUCACAUUGUCAUGCAACAUCACUAUCAAUCUCUAGAACUUUUUCCUCUUGUAAAACUGAAACUCUGUGCCCAUUCAUUAAACACUAACUCUCCAUUUUCCCCUUCCUCCAGCCUCUAGUCAUCAUGAUUCUUCAUUUAUUUAUUUAUUUAUUUGAAACGGAGUCUCACUCACUCUGUUGCCCAGGCUAGAGUACAGUAGCAUGAUCUCGGCUCACUGCAGCCUCCACUUCCUGGGCUCAAGCGAGCCUCCCACCCACCUCAGCCUCCCAAGUAGCUGGGACUACAGGUGCACACCAACACACCCGACUAUUUUUUUUUUUUUUUAAUUUUUUUUAGUGACGGGAUCUAACUAUGUUGCCUAGGCUGGUCUCGAGCUUCUGGACUCGAGCAGUGCACUCACCUUGGCCUCCCAAAAUGUUGGGAUUACAGGCAUGAGGCACCAUGCCUGGCCUUCAUUUCAUUUUUCACUGGGCUUUUUUGAGUUGUAUUCCUAUCACUUACUUGAUCUGUACUAUACUUUCCCAACCCCCUUCUUUUUUUAUUAUUAUUAUUAUUAUACUUUAAGUUUUAGGGUACAUGUGCACAAUGUGCAGGUUAGUUACAUAUGUAUACAUGUGCCAUGCUGGUGUGCUGCACCCAUUAACUCGUCAUUUAGCAUUAGGUAUAUCUCCUAAUGCUAUCCCUCCCCCUUCCCCCCACCCCACAACAGUCCCCAGAGUGUGAUGUUCCCCUUCCUGUAUCCAUGUGUUCUCAUUGUUCAAUUCCCAUCUAUGAGUGAGAAUAUGCGGUGUUUGGUUUUUUUGUCCUUGCGAUAGUUUACUGAGAAUGAUGAUUUCCAAUUUCAUCCAUGUCCCUACAAAGGACAUGAACUCAUCAUUUUUUAUGGCUGCAUAGUAUUCCAUGGUGUAUAUGUGCCACAUUUUCUUAAUCCAGUCUAUCAUUGUUGGACAUUUUUCCCAACCCCCUUCUGGACUUCAUGAUUGGCUUAAUUUACAAACAUAUUGGGUAGAAUGAGGGGUCUGUGAAAGGUAAUGAAUUUGGAAAGUAGCUUGCCUUUCACAUUGGGCUGCAAAGAAAGUAGGUUGAAAGAAAUGUUUGGGCCAGACGCAAUGGCUCAUGCCUAUAAUCUCAGCACUUUGGGGGGCCGAGGCAGGAGGAUCACUUGAGGUCAGGAGUUCGAGACCAGCCUGGCCAACAUGGUGAAACCCCAUCUAUAAUAAAAAUACAAAAAUUCGCUGGGCAUGGUGGCACAUGCCUGUAAUCCUAGCCACUCAGGAGGCUGAGGCAAGAGAAUCACUUGAACCUGGCAGGCAGAGGUUGCAGUGAACCAAGAUCACGCUGUUGCACUGCAGCCUGGACGACAAAGCAAGACUCCGUCUCAAAAAAAAAAAAAGAAAGAAAUGUUUGGCAUGAAAAACCAUUUCCUAAGUGUCAGACAUCUAUCUGUGAAUUAUGUGUAUGGCUCCAAAAGUAGAAGACUCAGUGGUAUGCUUGUUACAAUUGUUAGUGUUUUGGUAUGCUGGAGUUAGCCCAUCAGAUAUUCAUGUGAAAGCUCACACUACUGGGAGAAAAUUAAACAAACAAAAAUCUACCUUGAAAAUGUCAUGCCUUAACAUUCUCCUUUGGAAAUACUGUACAAAGAUAAUAUAAAACAUCUAAAAAUAACGCAUAUUUUAAAAAGAUUUGAAAAAAGAAUACAUUUUCACAGUUUGAGAAGUUGAUUCUUGUUAUGCAAACUUGAACAUUUAUUUUUGAGGGGUGGGAUGCCUGGGAAAAUUACAGAUUGUAGGAGUUGUUUAUGGAAGUUACAAAAAGGGACUCUGAUGAUUAUUUCAUGCCAUUUUUGAAUGUGAGAAAUAAAUAUGUCAAUAUUUAUUAUGAAAAUAGCAUAAGGAAGAUUUCCAUGCAUAUAGAGAGGGUGUCUGCAUUCACAGCCUUUGGAAAAUGGUCAAUUUCAUGGCAGAAAUGAAUAUAAAUUGUUCCACUCAAACCUUCAGAACUGCAGUCCUUUGAUAAUUACAAUGUUGUUUUCUGAUUUGGUUUCUCUGCUAAUAUUACCCAUAACGUUUUCACGUUUGUGAGUUUCCUUACACAUUUCACAAGUAUCUUCUUUUCUCAUUUCAAAAGUAAUGUAUUCAACACAAAAAAUUAAUGAUGCAUUUUCCCAGUCUAUAUAAAUGCAUAUAAGAAUAUUUUUUCUUUGACUCAGUACGGAAUCAUAUAGUACAUGCUACCUUGACAUCUACUUUUUUCUCCACACUUAACAACGUUCUAUGAACAUCAAAGGGCCUUUGUGAUACUACUUUCCUUAGAAGCUAAAGUCCAUACAUAUGAAAAGGAAGCAAAUUCCUCACACUGAGAAACCGUGACUAUAAGCAUAUUUCAUCAAUUUAUAAACAUUAAAAAGUAUAAUUUCUAAACAUUGGUUUAUAUUAAAUAUCUUUUAAAAAAUGAUCACCAGUUUAACAGUGCCAAGUUCUUUUGACAACUUAAGAGCUGAAAACUGGCCAGGAACAGUGGCUCAUGCCUGUGAUUCCAACACUUUUAGAGGCAGAGGUGUGAGGAUUGCUUGAGCCCAGGACUUCAAGACCAGCCUGGGCAGCAUAGUGGGACCCCAUCUCUACCAAAAAUAAAAAAAUUAGCUGGGCGUGGUGCAUGUGCCUGUAGUCCCAGCUACUUGGGGGAGCUGAGGUAGGAGGAGAUUGCUUGAGGACAGGAGGUUGAGGCUGCAGUGAGCCAUGAUUGCACCACUGCCCUCUAGCCUGGGUGACACAGUGAGACCCUGUCUGAAAAACACAGGCAUAAAUCUUUACAAUCUUGGAUUCAGCAAUGGUUUCCCAGACACAGUGCCAAUAGCACAAGUGAGGGAAGAUAAAGUAGAUCAAUUAGACUUAAUGAAUUUUAAAACAUUUGUGUUGCAAACAAUAUAAUCAAGAAAGUGAAAAGACAAUCCAAAGAAUGGGAGAAAUUAUUUGUAAAUCAUAUAUCUAAUGAGGGACUUGUAUCAAGAAUAUAUAAAGAACUCUUACAACUCCACAAUGAAAAGAUAACCCAGUUUCUUCAGUGGGAAAAAGAUCUGAAUAGAUAUUUCCCCAAAGACAUAUAAGCAGCCAAUAAGCCUGUGAAAAGAUACUCAACAUCAUUUGUCAUCAGGGAAAUGCAUACCAAAACCACCAUGAAACAUCACUUCACACCCACUAGAAUGGCUAAACUAUUUUAAGUUACUAUACUUAAAAAGACGGGCAACUAGUUUUAUUUAUUUGUUUUAUUUUCAUUUUUUAUUUUUUUGAGACAGAAUCUUGCUCUGUCACCCAGGCUGGAAUGCGGUGGCGUGAUCUCGGCUCACUGCAACCUCCGCCUCCUAGGUUCAAGUGAUUCUCCUGCCUCAGCCUCCUGAGUAGCUGGGAUUACAGGUGCCCACCACCACACCCAACUAAUUUUUGUAUAUUUAGUAGAGACGAGAUUUUGCCACGUUGGUCAGGCUGGUCUCGAACUUCUGACCUCGUGAUCUGCCUGCCUCGGCCUCCCAAAGUGCUGGGGAUUACAGGCAUGAGUCACCACGCCCGGCCCAGACAAGCAGUUUUUGUGAGGGUUUGGAGAAAUUGGAGCCCUUAUUCUUCAUUAGUGGGAAUAUAAGUUUAGCCACUUUGGAAAACAGUCUGGCAGUUACUAAAAAAAUUAAACAUGGAGUUACCAUAUGAACACCAAUUCUACUCCUAUAUACUCAAAAGAAAUGAAAACAUACAUCCACACAAAAAUUUGCAUAUGAAUGUUCAUAGCAGAAUUAUUCGUAACAGGCAAAAAGGGGAAACAACAAAAAUGUCCAUCAACUUAGAAAAGGAUAAACAAAAUGUGGUAUAUCCGUGCAAUAGAAGAUUAUCCAGCCAUAAAUGAAGUACUGAUCGAUGCUACAACAUGGAGGAACCUUGAAAACAUGCAAAGUGAAAGAAGCCAGUAAAAAAAAGAUGACAGGUUGAAUGAUUCCAUUUAUAUGAAAUGUUCAGGAUGGGCAAAUCUCAGGUUUGGGCCAUAAUCCCAAAAGGCACAAUCCUGAGUGCUGUGACCUGGAAUGAUCAAAAUCCCUAAAGUCUAAAGUCCCAAAAACCACAAUCCCAAAAGAUCAAUAUCUCAAAAUUAGAAUUCUGGAAAAAAUAGGCUGGGCGCAGUGGCUCACACCUGUAAUCCUAGCACGUUGGCAGGUCAAGGCAGGCAGAUCACUUGAGGUCAGGAGUUCAAAACCAGCCUGGCCAACAUGGUGAAACCGUGUCUUUACUAAAAAUACAAAAAUUAGCCAAGCGUGGUGGUGGAUGCCUGUAAUUCCAGCUACUCAGGAGGCUGAGGCAGGAGAAUUGCUUGAACCUGGGAGGCAGAGGUUGCAGUGAGACGAGACUGUGCCACUGCACUCCAGCCUGGGCAACAUGAGUGAGACUCCAUGUCAAAAAAAAAAAAAAAAAAGAAUUCUGGAAAAAAUAAUUUUUAGAAAAUACAAGGACAUUUAUUUACAUUUUUAAAGGAGAUUCAUUUGAGAAACAUAGAAACACAACAGAAUACACAAUAAAAGACAAUAAUAAUAUACAUAUUUUUAAGCAUAAACAUCUAGGUAUACUAACUACAGUUGCAAGAGUACAGUUACAAGUGGAUGAAAUGUAUUAUUAAAGAAAUAGGUCAGAAAGCAAAAUGAAUAAAUACAUCACUAUGGUUGGUAAUUGCAUGCACCCAGCUUUAUAACCUCAGUCAUCUGAAAUACUGUGACCGGCAAACUAAGUCUUUUGAUGAGACUGAUCAAAAACCACGAUGGGUCAGCACCACAUAUGCAGCCACCCAAAGAGCCAAGAUCUCGAGAAGUUUUCUCUUUCACAAAUGCAUGUGCACAGAAAGGACAUCUCUUCAUCUAUUGAGGAAGAUUCAACAUUUUUGCAUACACACGUGACGCUUACACACAGAGUCAAUGUGAUAAUGUACUUUUGUGAAGUCAAAUUUGUAAAAAACAAAAUACAUAAAAUGAAUUAGAACUCUAAAAGUCUUUACACAAUUUAUACCUCCAGUAUUGAAAUAAUGCAAAGAUGAAAUCCAUAGCAUAGCAAAUUGCAAAAAAAUAAUGUUGACAAUUUAAAAUUGUGGGGAAGGGCUGGGACUCCGUGGCUCAUGCCUGUAAUCCCAGCACUUUGGGAGGCCGAGGUGGGCGGAUAACCUGAGGUCAGGAGUUUGAGACCAGCCUGGCCAACCUGGAGAAACCCUGUCUCUACUAAAAACACAAAAAUUAGCCGGACAUGGUGGCGGGCACCUAUAAUCCCAGCUACUUGGGAGGCUGAAGCAGGAGAAUCACUUGAAUCUGGAAGGCGGAGGUUGCCAUGAACCAAGUUUGGACCACAGCACUCCAGCCUGGGAGACAGAGUGAGACUCCAUCUCAAUAAAUAAAUUAAUUAAUUAAAUAAAAUAGUGGAGAAAAUACUAAAAAAAGAAAAAAAAAACUAAAAAAAUUAAGAAGAAAAUUCGGCAUGUGAAAAAGUAUAUCGAUUAUGGGCAAUUGCACAGAGGUUGUCCAUAGAGCUGACCAACUUUCACAAUCAUUAACUAUAUUUGAAGCCUCUCAUGUCCAUGAAUACCUGCUUUCUUUUUCCCCUUUUAGGGUAUGAAUACAUUUACAAAGAAUACAUUCACAUUGCUUUUCUACGUGGCACUGCUCUUUUUGAAAUUCUUCUGAGUUAAGAUACACCAACAUGAACAUUCCUGUAUAAUGUUCACAUCUUUUGUGCCAUACUUCUGUGUAAUUUUGGGUAUACAGUAAUCCACUCCACAAGCACUUUUAUGGAGACCACAAAUUUCACAGAAACCAUGUUGUUGAUUGAACUCCAACAUCGUUGUGCAUUCUUUUAUCCUACUGUGCACAUGAUUAUUUUUGAACCAGCCAGUAACUUUGCUGGCUUCUUCAAGCAAAUUUGGCUUUAAUUCAUUAAAAAUUCCUAGAAUUUCAUCAGCUGGAAGGGCUGCCAAUGCAGACAAAGGAUGCAUUUUUAUUUUUAUUUUUCAUUUUUUUUGAGACAGGGUCUCACUCUGUCACACAGGCUGGAGUGCAGUGAUGUGAUCACAGUUCAGUGCAACCUCAACUUCCCAGUCUCAAGUGAUCCUCCCACCUCAGCCUCCUGAGUGUAGGACUACAGGCAUAUGCCACCACACCUGGCUAAUUUCCUUUAUUUUUUGUAGAGUUGAGGUCUCGCCAUGUUGCCCAGGACUCGAACUCCUGGGCUCAAGCAAUCCUCCCGCCUUGGCCUCCCAAAGUGUUGGGAUUACAGGCAUGAACCGCUGUGCCCAGCCAAUGAUGCAUUUUUAAACUGAAGUUUUCAUCACUGCAUUAUAAUGUGGCCAAUCCACUCACCUGAAUUUUCCACCAAAUGCAAAUAAAGACAAUGAGAAGGUAAUAGUUCUGCAUAACAUGAUGCAACUAACAUGACUCAACUGUCCUAAAUACAACCCAAAACGCAUUAAUUCCUUCCCUAGAAUUCAGCUUUCUAAGAUUUCCAAUUUCAGGAUUUUGAUCUUUCAGGAUUACGAUUUUUGGAAUUUUAGAUGUUAGAUAUUUUAGACUCUAGGGAUUUUAAUGUUUCAGGCUUGCAACGUUCAGGAUUAUGGCAUUUGGAAUUGUGUCUUCAGGGAUUAUGACUGGCACUAGCAAAUCUCUAGAGGCACAAAGUAAGUUAGUGUUUGCCUAGGGCUUAGGGGUUGGGAAAGAAUGGGGUGACUGGUAAUUGGAAUAGGAUUUUUUUGGGGGGGGUGUCAAAUAUGUUUUGAAAUUAGAUUGUGGCAAUGGUUGCACAACUCCAUGAAUAUACCAAAAACAAUUGAAUUCUACACUUUGAAAUGAAAUAAAUUGUCUAGAAUGUGAAUGAUAUCUCAAUAAAGCUGUUUAAAAAAAA
rnacentral:lncRNA from 1 species